GAUGAAGAACGCAGCAAAAUGCGAUAAGUAAUGUGAAUUGCAGAAUUCAGUGAAUCAUCGAAUCUUUGAACGCACAUUGCGCCCCUUGGUAUUCCAUGGGGCAUGCCUGUUCGAGCGUCAUUUGUACCUUCAAGCUUUGCUUGGUGUUGGGUGUUUGUCUCGCCUUUGCGUGUAGACUCGCCUUAAAAUAAUUGGCAGCCGGCGUAUUGAUUUCGGAGCGCAGUACAUCUCGCGCUUUGCACUCAUAACGACAGCGUCCAAAAGUACAUUUUACACUCUUGACCUCGGAUCAGGUAGGGAUACCCGCUGAACUUAAGCAUAUCAAUAAGCGGAGGA
rnacentral:misc_RNA from 1 species